UAUUGAGUGCUUGAUAUGUGCCAGAUGA
rnacentral:piRNA from 1 species